GUUUUUGUUUAAUUUUCCUGUCAACGCGCAAACAUAUUAUGGACGAAUGUAGCACACACGAACGGUCCUUGCAGACACGCCCAUGCAGCGCACACGACAGCAUCGCUGCUGCCGACCAAAUUGAGCAGCAAUCAAAAUUACCACCCCACCCAACUCUCUAGUGAUCCUUCCGCAGGUUCACCUACGGAAA
rnacentral:misc_RNA from 1 species